rnacentral:lncRNA from 1 species
GUUUCUGGCAUGUGUAGUCCCCAGAGGAAGUAGUUCAUGGGACAGUCCUGAGGUUGAGGUCCGGGACAUGCCGCAGUUACCUGUGUACCCCUCCCAGAGGCUGCUACUCUGCCCUGGCAGAGCAACUGGUGUUAAUGGAGGAGGGAGUGGUGUGGCAGAAGCCUACACAGGCAGUCAAUAUCAGAAGGCAGAGUCUCUGGUUUAACUUGGAAAAAAACAAAAUCCUGAAGACUCAUGAUGACUGGGACUUGCUGGACAGAGAUGGUGGAGAGCCUCUGCUGUGGUCCCUGGGUGUGGAGACAGAGAACAAAGGAAGAAUGAAGAGGAGGGGGCGGGGCCUCUUUGCAGCUACCUAAAGGAGGCCAGAGACUAGAAACCAAACUUCGAAUGAAUCUGAGAUGUGCCUGGAAGUCCUCGUCCUGCCUUGCACAGUGUGAUGCUGACCACAACAAACACUGGGCUCUGUGAUGUCAUCACAGCAGGCGGCACCUGCACCCGCAAACACUGCCUGAAAUACCUCAUCUCAGACAUGAGACAGUGGCCUGUCAUGAGAUACUGUGUUUUUACUGCACAUAGGAAGCAUUUUGCCGGGGAGUGGAGGGAAUAAAAUAUGGAGUGUAAAAAAAUUAAUUAAUAAUAAAAAAAGAAAAAAAGAAAAGGAAAGCAUUUUGCUCUCAUAGUAAUACAAUGG